GACGAACGCUGGCGGCGUGCUUAACACAUGCAAGUCGAGCGAGGCCCACCGGGUGGCAACACCUGGUGGUUCCUAGCGGCGAACGGGUGAGUAACACGUGGGUGAUCUGCCCUGCACUUCGGGAUAAGCCUGGGAAACUGGGUCUAAUACCGGAUAGGACCACUGCCUGCAUGGGUGGUGGUGGCAAGCUGUUGCGGUGUGGGAUGGGCCCGCGGCCUAUCAGCUUGUUGGUGGGGUGAGGGCCUACCAAGGCGACGACGGGUAGCCGGCCUGAGAGGGUGACCGGCCACACUGGGACUGAGAUACGGCCCAGACUCCUACGGGAGGCAGCAGUGGGGAAUAUUGCACAAUGGGCGCAAGCCUGAUGCAGCGACGCCGCGUGAGGGAUGACGGCCUUCGGGUUGUAAACCUCUUUCAGCACCGACGAAGCGCAAGUGACGGUAGGUGCAGAAGAAGGACCGGCCAACUACGUGCCAGCAGCCGCAGUAAGAC
rnacentral:rRNA from 1 species